UGUAGGAGUAAGCAUUCUUACUAGAAUUAGAUUUCGAAAAAUUGUUUUAUAAUCUAAAAAGUUAAUAUGAUGUAGACUCAUAAUUGUAGUUAUUCACUUCCCUUAAACAUGGAUACCCUCUAUGGGCACACUGUUCCUGGCAUCAUUUCCUUGUGUGUCCGUUUCUAGUUCUAUUAGUUUGCUUAUUUUUGAGCUGUAAUAUUGUUUAAGAAUUGAAUUUUUGAGGGGAGACGAUUGUUUCUUAUAUAUGUGUUGCAAUAUUUUGACUCCAAUUUUGACUCUUACAUUACAGCAAAUCUAACAAGUUUGCAAGGAUUAUAUGUCUAUUGCAAUUUUUCACAUACUUCUUACAUUCAUGUGUGGUUUUACAGGAGAAGCAAGUAUUUCAGCAUCUCCGAAGGCUAUUCAAACAAACUCUGAACUCUAAUUUUAAAAAAGAUAGUGAAAAAUUAGUGUUUUUAGCGACUUUUUAAAAAUUUAAGAGCCUCCUAUUUCAAAUUCUUUUUACUUUUCUUUAAUUAUAUUUUCAACUUUUUUCUUUAUAUAAAUAUAAAUAGAAAACAAGUAUAAAAGAUAGGGUUGACAUCAAACCAAUAAUGUAAAGUUGAAAUUUUAAACGAUAUCUCAAAUUAUAUCAUUUAAAAUACAAAAAUUGAAAUGAAACGAAAUAUAUGUUCCCAAACCUAAUCUUUUAUGUUUAACUAACAUUGUUUAGGUGCGGUGAAUGAAUUUGGACCAGAUCAUCUUAAUUUUAUUAUUGUUAUAGAAAAUUUUAAUGGUAUCAUUUCAUUUAUGAUUAUUAAAAAUUGUCAUUUAUAUUUUCCAACUUAUGUGUGAUACCCUUGAAUUUUCCCCUACCUGCUAGGUGCCAGCCUUGUUGGGGCAAUGUAAAGAAUCUUGUUGCACUUUAAAAUCCAAUCUCAUCAACCUUAUUCAUGACUCAAAAGAAAGGUCAAGAACGGUAGAAAUUUGUAAGGCUGAACUUAAACCGAAAGAAAGAGCAAAAGAAAAGAGUCGUGGGAAUCCUGUGAGCCUCUCCUUUGUUGAUAAGAAGACAGGAUUUAUGAACCAUACCACAUUGCCAUGUGGAGGAUAGGGUUUGCUCUCACCACACCAUUUCCACAAGCCUCUCCUCACCUAUAUCAUUAACUCUUCACUCUUCACUCAACCCUCAAUCUCAUUAAUCAGUGUCCAUCUACCUUACCUACCAAGCUCUCUCAACAUAAUGGCAGCCACCUUAUCAGGCACCAUGGUCAGCACCUCCUUCCUCCGCCGCCACCGCCCCGUGGCCACCAGCCUCAAGUCCAACGUGGGCCAGGCCCUCUUCGGCCUCAAGUCCUCCAACAUGCAAGGCGGCAGAAUCACAUGCAUGGCCACCUACAAGGUCACUCUCCGGACCCCUGAUGGUGAGGUCGAGUUCGAGUGUCCUGAUGAUGUCUACGUUCUCGACCAGGCUGAGGAGCAAGGAAUCGAUAUUCCUUACUCGUGCAGGGCGGGCUCGUGCUCGUCCUGCGCGGGGAAAGUGGUGUCUGGCUCGAUUGAUCAGAGUGAUCAGAGCUUUCUUGAUGAUGAGCAGAUGGAUAGUGGGUAUGUGCUCACUUGUCAUGCUUACCCUACUUCUGAUGUCAUCAUUGAGACUCACAAGGAGGAGGAGAUUGUGUAAUUUAGUUUCGUGGUAAUGUCGUGUCGGAUAUUUGGAUACUCUGUCAUGUUUUGUUUGAGUUAUGUAUUUCAUUUCUAAUGGAGGGUGAAAUUGUAAUGUUUAAUUCUCGGACUCAGAUUAUAUAUAUAUGAAAUUAAUAACAUAUUAUCUUGUUGAAUUGGUUAUGUUUUGGUUCAGUUCGGACGGGUAAUGUUCUUGUUGAUGUUUUGGAAUGUAGUUUUUCUUUGAUUCUAUUCAUAAUUAGGCUGUAUUUCACAGUAUAUGUAUGGGUUUUAAAGCAUAUUCUAGAGAAAUAAGUGUUUUAGACAGUUGUUUGCUAAGGAUGAGUGCUUUUGUAUUGCUGCAGAACUCAAACUGUUAUUAUAUGGCUUAUACAUCCUUUUCUCAUAAUAUUCAAAAUAUGCACCUCUCUCUCUCUCUCUCUCUCUCUCUCUCUCUCUCCCUCCCUCUCCCUCUCCCUCUCCCCCUCUCCCUGCCCCCUCCUUCCACUGUGUAUUAUAAUUGGAUGUUUUCUUCAUUGAAUUGGAUUGUUGAGUGUGGGAAAUAGUUGGAAUUGUGUAUAACAUUUGUGGUUAAUUUCUGAGAGUUUAAAGUACCAGUUGUUCAAAGAUCAGUGAAACUUUCUGAUUGAUAUAAAGGGAUAUUUGCAGGUCUAUUUUUUACUCCUAGCCCUAGAUCUUUUGUGUAUGUUUAUGUGUUUAUAUGUUAUGAUAUGGUGUAUGAAUUUUAGAAUGUUUUUAAGUGUAGGAAUUAUGUUUAGAUUGAUAUAAUGUGGUCAAUUUCUGACAGUUUUACUGUCCGUAUUUGAAAAUUGUGGAGACCUUUUUGUGGUCUCGAGUGAAAUGAUGAAGUUGUAUUGGAUGAUGGUGUUGAUAUGGUAAUAAACUGGUCAGGGCAGGGAUAAUUAUAAAUGUGUUUUUAGGCUGUAUGUAGAUGUAUGAGUUAGGGAUGUUUGAGAUAUUGGAGAUGAGAGCAGGUGGAUGGAUGCUAGUUUUUUUUUUUUUUUUUUUUUUUUUUUUGGGACACUUUUCAAUAAUAUUAGUUUGUUGUUGGAAGUUUAUCUGGCUUUUGGUGGUGAUUUAGCAGAGUGCCUUCGUUUGAUUACUUGUCUGAAAGUACUCAGGUGACAACCAAGAUAAAGAUAUACUUUCUUUUCUAGCUUUAACUUGCAUUUAUUAUCAGUCAACCACUCCGUGUUCUGUUGAUAGUCUCCUCAAAAAUCUGGUACAUGGAUUCUAUUCAUUUUCUAAACUCAACUAAAAAACUGCAACAAAGUAAUGAUUUUUAUUACUAUGAGAAACCAAAUCCAAGCAGUGGGUUAUUCACUAGUCUAAUCAGCUACAUUUGUAAAAAUUAAAAUGAAUCAUACCAAAUUCGAUUAAUGGUCUGGUUAGAUUCGUUUUCCUAGGACUCAAUUCUGUAAGUUUAUACGUUGCUAAAAAGCUCUUUACGUUUUUGUUAGUGUAGACUUAUCUUUCGAAUUACUUAAUCUUAUCAAUGCUAAUAAAAAAUACUGCAUUAAUAGGUGUAGUUUAAAUUUACUGAAUCUUAUUGAUUAGUUUAUUCAUUUUUGCAUUUCCCCCCUUUAUGUCUCCUAAUAUGGCUAAUUAUAAACAUGUUCCAGAUGGAUAAUAUGGGUUCCUUUCUCUUGUAUUAAGUGACACUUAUUCAUAGAAUUUUUUUCAUCAAGUACUUUUUCUAAAUUGUACAAUGAAGAGAAUCCUCUAUUCUUCUAAGCAAUUCAUACCUUAAAGUAGAUUAUUAAGAAUGGUGCUAGAUAUACCUUCAAGUUGGAUAAUUAAGAAUGGCUGAUCUUAUUUUAACUAGUGUGUAUGUUUGGGUUUUUAAAAGCAUAUGGUUAAAUACUAAAAUUCAUUGUUUUGUAAAAGGCAGCAAUUCUUAAAAGCGCACAGACAAUCUUGUUGUGUGCUGCAUUGCUGCUUGGACUAAUUUAAUUUAGUAGAUGAGAAUGGUCUCUUUAAAUCAUGAAAUUAUUGUUUCCAUGAUAGUCUCUAGUGAAACUAUUGUUUUAGAUAUUUAUUGCUUCGCCCUCCCUUGUAUCCUUUCCGAGGCUGUUGCCUAGACUUAUAUUUUAUUUCACUGUUCCAUUUAAUGGGCAACUCUUUAAAAUGGUUCCCUGUUUUUUCCCCUUUGCAGUAUCAAGCAGAUGACCCCGUGACAUUAUGGGUAAACAAAGUUGGGCCUUAUAAUAAUCCGCAAGAGACAUACAACUAUUACACUCUUCCAUUUUGUCAUCCACCUGGUGAAGCUGGUCACAAGUGGGGUGGUCUGGGUGAGGUGUUGGGUGGAAAUGAAUUGAUCAAUAGCCAAAUAGACAUAAAGUACCAGAGUAAGUAAUCUCAUGUUUCUUCUAACAAUCUAUCUUGGCGAGGUCAUGUAAAAAUAUGUCUACGUUUUCUUUGCAGAAAAUGUGAACAAGAGAACUAUCUGUGAGCUUGAACUUGAUGAUGAUAAGGUCAAACAGUUCAAGGAAGCUAUAGAAAAUAGCUAUUGGUUUGAAUUUUUCAUGGGUAUGUUAUGUUUUUCUGUAAUGCAAUUGCUAGUGUAGCAAUUACUGUGAACCUGCAUGGAUUGUUUUUAAGUUUUAGGAUAUUUUUAUGAAGCAAAGAGAAGAUUUAGCAUAUUACUAAAUGCGAAGCUACUUGAAAAGUUAUUAUCAUUGUGAAUUGGUCAAAGUUAUGUUCUUAUAUUGGAAACAGUAGUUGCGGGCAUGCAGGUCAUGUUUUUGCUAAACAAAAUGUGAUGCACCAUCAAAUUUCUAUCGAAGAGUAAGAUCAAACUUUUUUCUGAAUAUUUUUGUGUGUGGCUAUGUUAUAGCUCAGUUGUUUUUCUUCUCAAUACUGUUUUAAAUUAAAAAAUAUUAUAUUCAACCUGAAUUCAUGUUAUAAGUUAACCUAUCGUGCUCUCAAUUCUCAGGCUACAUGUGUAUAAGAAAAUAUUGCAUCGAGCAGUGCAUAUAUGAGCAUAUUAAUGACAUUCUUAUUAUUUUGCAUUAUUUUUCCAAGCAUAAAUAGUAAUGCUUAUUAGAGAUAGGCAAGGCAAAUCCUUUUAUCAAUAAUAAAUUGAAACAUGGAAUAUCUUCUUAGAAUACUAACUGGUGCUUGAUUUUUAAUCUGUAAGAUGUAUCUCCUUGUGAAUUAUAGUGAUGUUGGGUCAUUGCUCACAUACUGACCAAAUUAAUAGAUCAUAGGAGUACUAUAAUAGUUUUAACCACCCACAUGAUCUAAUAUCUGUAUAAAAUUAUUUCUCGACAAAGAUACAUUUCUCUGUAUUGGUGUAUCCAGAUAAUUGUUGCGUGUAUAUACAGUUUAAUAAAAUUUGAUUUUUUUUUUCUGUUGAAGUGAAGUUGAAAAUCCUCAGUCACUGCAAUACUGAGUACAUUGAUGUUAGUAGCUCCAUGUUGUAUAAAUUAUUCUCUCAAUUAUAUAAUAUUAUGACGGAGUUGAAAAGAAUAUGAAAGCAUCCUUGCAUGGUUUCUUGACCUUACCUGUUCCUUCUUUCUCAUAGCGACUAGAUUUCCUCUUAGCUUUUCUUUAUGAACAUAUUUACUAUCUCAGCAGUCAGCAAAAUUAAUGAUCAGGAAUCAUCUUUAUAAUCAUCUUUAUACUGUUGUAAUUUAUUUAUAUGCUGAGUUCUGGUUACUUGAUUCUUUACAAUCUACAUUAUAUUCAUUUUCUUAUCAUAUUAAUUUUUUUUGUUGGCGUCUUUGGUUCGUAUGAUGUGAUGAUUACAAGUUCAGAUGAUCUGCCACUAUGGGGUAUGUGUAUUUGAAACGCUUUGUUAAUAACUUUCCUAGGCUUGGCCUGUAUUAUUACCCACUAAUAUUUAGUUUCUCCAAUCAAAUAGGUUUUGUUGGCGAGCUGCAUCCUGAUAGGAACAAUGAAAACAAGCAUGUGGUUUACACACACAAGAAUAUUAUUGUGCAGUACAAUAAAGAUCAGGUUUGUAGCAUUAAAUGUGAAUAGUUUUGCAGCCAGUGGUAUCUGUUCCUAGUUAUGUCAUUGGUUCAUCUGUUGCAGAUUAUUCAUGUUAACCUCACUCAAGAGAACCCAAAACCGUUGGAAGCUGGGAGAAUAUUGGAGUUGACAUAUUCUAUUAAAUGGGAGCCCACUAAUAUCACUUUUGCUCAUCGUUUUGAUGUUUACCUGGACUACCCCUUUUUUGAGCAUCAGGUGAUUCUUGACCUUGUACAUAUAUAGCAUGACUUGCUGAGUACCAAUUUAAUUUUGAUUUGUGUUUUUAAAUAAUUAUCUAUGUUGUAUGGAACUGCAAGUGCUGGUUGAUCUAUAACAUUCUUCGGAUAUGCCAGCUUUUUGACUGUAACUCUAAAAGUUAUUGGGCAUUAUUUUAGUAAGAAAAUAUUUAUGCUGGUGAGGUUUUGUUUUAUGAAGAACUUUGUGUCUUUUUAUUUUUUACUAACUGCAUGCUGGUGAGGUUUUGUUUUAUGAAGAACUUUGUGUCUUUUUAUUUUUUACUAACUGCAUUGGUUGUACAUGCAUUUUGCAUCAUGCAGAUUCAUUGGUUCUCUAUUUUUAAUUCAUUUAUGAUGGUUAUCUUCCUCACUGGUCUGGUUUCAAUGAUAUUAAUGCGCACACUAAGAAAUGAUUAUGCUAAAUACGCUCGGGAAGACGAUGAUUUGGAAUCUUUGGUAAGUACACAUUAGAGAAGUGGCAUGCUCUAUAUCUUCCUUUGCUUCCUGGUACUGAUUUUUGAGAACUACAAAUCCAGGAAAGAGAUGUAAAUGAAGAAUCUGGAUGGAAACUUGUCCAUGGAGAUGUUUUCAGGCCUCCUCAUCAUUUGGUAGUACUUUCAGCUGUUGUUGGUACGGGAGCUCAGUUGGCAUUGUUGAUUCUUCUUGUAAUUGUGGUUGCAAUGGUUGGGACAUUGUAUGUCGGGUACGUUAGACAAGUACUCUUGCAAUAUUACUCCAUUUUUCAUAUCUAAUGGUCAUUUAUUGCGUCAAUUAUGUAUAUCUAAAAGAUUAUUUUGCAAGUUCAUUUAUGAUGAGAAGUAAGGUACAGCCUGCAAGUGUGGAUUUUUGAUAUUAUUUCUUUGUUUUAUGUUACUGUUUCUCUCUUUUUCACACACACACAUUGUAUUUAUGUUAUCUUAUGUCAAGUUUGGGUCAAGUAGCAAUUGUUCAAUUCUGCAUUAUGUCUUCACGUUUAUAUUUCUUUGCUUUAGAUCAUUUAUUUAAUGUUGAAUAAACUGAAAUUUGUUCAACCAACCUGUCAUUUUCUGAACUUGUUGCCAAUUUGCUUUGCGUGGAACAAAAAUUUACCUGUAUGGACUUCACUUGUUCCAGGAGAGGAGCCAUUGUCACAACCUUUAUAGUAUGCUAUGCCUUCACAUCAAUUAUAUCAGGUUAUGUCAGCGGUGGAAUGUAUUCACGCAUGGGUGGUACGCAGAGAUAUAUUAUCUUUUAUAUGUUUUUUGGCUAUCGUUAUAAAAAAUAUUAACUUCUCAAUCUUGGACAGGGAAAAAAUGGAUAAAGUCAAUGAUCUUGACAGCUUCUCUGUUCCCAUUUUUGUGCUUUGGGAUCGGCUUUGUCCUGAACACUGUUGCUAUAUUUUACGGGUCUCUAGCAGCUAUUCCAUUUGGUACAAUGGUGGUGGUUUUUGUGAUUUGGAGUUUUAUCUCCUUCCCUCUGGCUCUUCUCGGUACAGUUUUUGGAAGAAAUUGGAGUGGUACUCCAAACAAUCCAUGUCGUGUGAAGACCAUUCCUCGUCCAAUUCCGGAGAAGAAGUGGUACCUCACACCAUCAGUUGUUUCAAUAAUGGGAGGUUUACUGCCCUUUGGUAGCAUAUUCAUUGAGAUGUACUUUGUCUUCACAUCUUUCUGGAACUACAAGGUACAAUUAUUAAAUAUCUUCAAUACUUAUGUUUUUUUUCAAAAAUAAAAAAUUAUAAUUUUGUUAUAUUGACUACCUUUUAGUUUUGAUUGGAUUAUUGGAAGCAUUAUGAGAAUCGUUGUAAUGUUUGUAUGCAGUUACAAGUUUUUCUUGGAUGGAAAAGAAAAACAGUUCAACUAAUAAUUCAUAUUGUGUAUGUAUGAAAUGGUACUUAAUAUUUUUAAGCUCUAUGUUUACAUGGAAAAUAUUAUUUCAAAUUAAUCCAUGCUGGAGAUAUGUCACUUCUUCUGGUCUUGGUAAAACAACUUUUAAGCUUUUCUGGGUUAAAGUUCUUCUGUGUCUGCCUGGACAGUAAAAAUGUAAUGUCUAGGAAUGGCAUGAAUACCCAACUGUACAAGUGAGGGUAGAGUUCAGAAACUUAACAUUGGUGGGUUGAUUUGACCAGAUCAUAUUAUAGAACAUAGUAGUUAAAAUGUUAGAUGGAUUAUCCAGUGGUGCAAUAAUUGUUAUAUUACAUAUUAUUGAAUACUCGUGUAAGCAAAAAUAUGAAUGUCUAUUUAUCGUUUUAAAAUAUAAAUAGUAGUCACUUGCAAAUAGUAUGAUAAGAUGUAAUGGGAUUCAAAGGAUAGGACGAAAGAUGGAGUAUCCCAGAAUAAAAACAUAAUUAUAUUGUACAUUCAUCCGACUUCUAGUCUGGAUCAUGUUUCCUUAAUAUCCAUUCUAGCACUUGCCUCCUCUCUUUUUCUAUUAGUCUGCUUCAUUAAUAAAUUUAGGUACAGUAGAUAAAAGCUAUAAUACCUUAACAUUUUGAAGGCCUUUUCUUUUACGUAUGAGUCACUUUAUGAGAUCAUUCAUCAUUGUAAAAGCUUAAGUACUAGGAAUUGCAAUGUAAUUAAUAAUCAUUUAUUACUUGGCUUUCUGUGAACUUCAUGUGUAUGCUUAGUGCUGGUAAAAUGUAAAUUUCACAUGCAUGUGACACUGUUUUGAUGAAGGAAAGACUUCGAAUCAUGUUCAAUGAUGUUCCCUUUCUUUUUGGUUAUUGACAGGUGUAUUAUGUAUACGGUUUUAUGCUGCUAGUUUUUCUGAUCCUCAUUAUUGUUACUGUAUGUGUAACAAUAGUGGGCACUUACUUCUUGUUGAAUGCCGAGAAUUAUCACUGGCAGUGGACUUCAUUCUUUUCGGCUGCAUCAACCGCUGUUUAUGUAUACUUCUAUGCAGUAUAUUAUUUCUAUGUUAAAACCAAGAUGUCAGGUUUCUUCCAAACCAGCUUCUAUUUUGGGUAUACACUGAUGUUUUGCCUUGGCCUAGGAAUCCUUUGUGGUAAGUUACAAGUAUUACUAUCUUAACAAUUUUCUGUAUUUCUCUCAUCUAAUAUUUAAACUUAUCAGGAAUGGAUGUGUCAAUUGGUUAUUAUAAUAGAAUAUAUGUUCUUCAUUGUAAUGAGUAAUGAGUCCCACUGGUAAUCUUAAAGCUUGAAAAUCGACAGUAGAAAGAUAUGAUGGUGCCUGGCCGCCUGGGGUGUAGUGCCUGCAUUUAAGAUAUAUUGAUACUGAUGUAUCUGAAACAUAUGGAGCAAAGUUUUUUUAUAGUAAAAGUAUGGGGCAAGGGUGACCUAGGGAUACUCUUUACUAUAUAAUUUCUCUCCAGACAGUGUUGUGCACUCUACGCCAACUUUGACAGUAAAAUUGACGUCAUUCUGUUGGACUUGUGAUAUACUACCGAAAAGCAUGCAUUCUCUACUCAUGUUAAUUCCUAUCAGGAAUUAGAUCCCUUGGCUGUGUUACUGUAAUGUGUAGUUUAUAUACAAGCAAAUAAACACAAAAAGAGAUGUUAAUAUAAGCCUAUAAACUAUAACAGUAUCAAAUUAUAUCAUACAUAUUGUAUGGGAUUUUGUUGAAUUUUUUAUUAAUUUAGUGUUUUCUGUUUAAUUUUCCAACACAUUAGUGAUUUUGUUAUAUAGUUUAAGAUUGUACUAUGCUUGUAAUAUAGUUUGUGCCUUUGCCUAACUUUUGUACAAUGUCUCCUAUCACGUUCAGGUGCUGUUGGUUAUUUGGGUUCUAAUCUUUUUGUGAGGAGGAUUUACCGAAAUAUAAAGUGUGAUUAGUUAUAUCCAAGAAAUACAAGUCUGCUUCCUCAUGUUGGUCAGGAAUCCCAGAACAAGAUGGAUGGGAACCAAGUCAUGCAAGUAAAGACCACUUCGACCCAGGAAGAUUAAUCUUCAGAAUUGAAAAGCCCUUUGUACCUUUUUCCUGGGCUGUAGGAGUAAGCAUUCUUACUAGAAUUAGAUUUCGAAAAAUUGUUUUAUAAUCUAAAAAGUUAAUAUGAUGUAGACUCAUAAUUGUAGUUAUUCACUUCCCUUAAACAUGGAUACCCUCUAUGGGCACACUGUUCCUGGCAUCAUUUCCUUGUGUGUCCGUUUCUAGUUCUAUUAGUUUGCUUAUUUUUGAGCUGUAAUAUUGUUUAAGAAUUGAAUUUUUGAGGGGA
rnacentral:lncRNA from 1 species